ensembl:misc_RNA Metazoa_SRP Metazoan signal recognition particle RNA
GCCGGGCGCAGGAGUGUGUGCCUGAAGUCCCAGCUACUCAGGAGGCUGAGGUGGGAGGAUCGCUUGAGCCCAGGCGCUCUGGGCUGUAGUGUGCUAUGCCGAUUGGCUGUCCACACUAAGUCUGGCAUCAAUAUGGUGACCUCCCGGGAGCGGGGGACCAGAAAUGGAGCAGGUCAAAACUCCCGUGCUGAUCAGUAGUGGGAUGGCACCUGUGAAUAGCCACUGAACUCCAGCCUGGGCAACAUAGCAAGACCCUGUCUCUU